UACAGAGGUCCCAAGCGUUGUUCGGAUUCACUGGGCGUAAAGGGCGCGUAGGCGGUGCUCUAAGUCGGAUGUGAAAACUCUGGGCUCAACCCAGAGCCUGCAUCCGAAACUGGAGUGCUAGAGUUCUGGAGGGGGUAGCGGAAUUCCUGGUGUAGCGGUGAAAUGCGUAGAUAUCAGGAGGAACACCGGUGGCGAAGGCGGCUACCUGGACAGAAACUGACGCUGAGGCGCGAAAGCUAGGGGAGCAAACAGG
rnacentral:rRNA from 1 species